UCCCUGGCAGUCCAGUGGUUAAGACUGAGCGCUUUCACUGCUGGGACCCAGGUUCAAUCCCUGGUCAGAGAA
rfam:Ovis aries breed Texel chromosome 14, whole genome shotgun sequence.